rnacentral:misc_RNA from 1 species
UCCGUUUUGUCAACGGCAGUCUCUCUAGAGUGCUCGGCCGAACCUUACCAAGGCUUGACAUAUACCGGAAAAGGCUGGAAACAGUCUCCCCGCAAGGUCGGUAUACAGGUGGUGCAUGGUUGUCGUCAGCUCGUGUCGUGAGAUGUUGGGUUAAGUCCCGCAACGAGCGCAACCCUCGUUCUAUGUUGCCAGCACGUAAUGGUGGGAACUCAUAGGAGACUGCCGGGGUCAACUCGGAGGAAGGUGGGGAUACGUAUCCUCAUGCGUU